GAUAAAAUGGCUGAGUAGUAGGCAAUAAAUUGUAAAUUUAUUAACGAAUAAAAAUUCUUUUAUCA
rnacentral:tRNA from 1 species